GACGAACGCUGGCGGCGCGCUUAACACAUGCAAGUCGAACGGUAAGGCUCUGCUUUUGUGGUGUGCUCGAGUGGCGAACGGGUGUGUAACCCGUCAGUAACCUGCCCCUUACUUUGCGUUACCUUCACGAAACUGGGGCCACUACCGGCCAGGAGCACUUGCUGAAUAGUGGGUAUUGGAACGUUUCGUGGGUUUGGGAUGGACUCGCGGCUUAUCAGCUUGUUCGUGGGGUAGUGGAUUACCAAGGCCUGGACCGGAAGCCGGCCUGGGUGGGUAACCGGACACACUGGGACUGAGAUAAGGCCCAGACUCCUACGGGAGGCAGCAGUGGGGAAGAGAACACUAUGGGCGGAAGCCUGAUGCAGCAACGCCGCGUGCGGGAAGACGGCCAUGGUGUUGUAAACCGCAGUCGCCUGAGACGAGGAGUGAGUGACGGUAAUGGGUAAAGAAGCACCGGCUAACUACGUG
rnacentral:rRNA from 1 species